rnacentral:rRNA from 1 species
GUAGGUGGCAAGCGUUGUCCGGAAUUAUUGGGCGUAAAGCGCGCGCAGGCGGUUCUUUAAGUCUAAUGUGAAAGCCCACGGCUCAACCGUGGAGGGUCAUUGGAAACUGGAGAACUUGAGUACAGAAGAGGAAAGCGGAAUUCCACGUGUAGCGGUGAAAUGCGUAGAGAUGUGGAGGAACACCAGUGGCGAAGGCGGCUUUCUGGUCUGUAACUGACGCUGAGGCGCGAAAGCGUGGGGAGCAAACAGGGAUUAGAUACCCUGGUAGUCCACGCCGUAAACGAUGAGUGCUAAGUGUUAGGGGGUUUCCGCCCCCUUAGUGCUGCAGCUAACGCAUUAAGCACUCCGCCUGGGGAGUACGGCCGCAAGGCUG